GGAGGAGGCAAGCGUUAUCCGGAAUUAUUGGGGGGCGUAAAGAGUCCGUAGGGUGGGUUUAUCAAGUCUGGGGUCAAAGACCGGAGCUUAACUCCGGAACGGCCGUGGAAACUGAGAGACUAGAGACCGGUAGGGGUAGAGGGAAUUCCCAGUGUAGCGGUGAAAUGCGUAGAGAUUGGGAAGAACACCAGUGGCGAAGGCGCUCUACUGGGCCGGGACUGACACUGAGGGACGAAAGCUAGGGGAGCGAAAGGGAUUAGAUACCCCUGUAGUCCUAGCCGUAAACUAUGGAGACUAGGCGUGGCUUGUAUCGACCCGAGCCGUGCCGAAGCCAACGCGUUAAGUCUCCCGCCGGGGGAGUACGCACGCAAAGUGUG
rnacentral:rRNA from 1 species